rnacentral:tRNA from 1 species
GCCUGGAUGGCUCAGUGGGUUGAGCAUCUGACUUGGGCUCAGGUCAUGAUCUCACAGUUUGUGGGUUCAAGCCCGCACUGGGCU